rnacentral:rRNA from 1 species
GAUGAACGCUAGCUACAGGCUUAACACAUGCAAGUCGAGGGGUAACGACAGCGAAAGCUUGCUUUUGCUGGGCGACGACCGGCGAAUGGGUGAGUAACGCGUAUCCAACCUGCCGCAAAGUAGGGCACAGCCUUGCGAAAGUAAGAUUAAUGCCCUAUGUGCUGUGAUGAUGACAUCAGAAUUGCAGUAAAGGUUCACCGCUUUGCGAUGGGGAUGCGUCUGAUUAGGUUGUUGGCGGGGUAACGGCCCACCAAGCCCGCGAUCAGUAGGGGUUCUGAGAGGAAGGUCCCCCACAUUGGAACUGAGACACGGUCCAAACUCC